GUGCUCGCUUCGGCAGCACACAUACCAAAAUUGGAACGAUACAGAGAAAAUUAGCAUGGCCCCUGAGCAAGGAUGACAGGCAAAUUCGUGAAGCGUUACAUAUUUUU
ensembl:snRNA U6 U6 spliceosomal RNA